CAAUAGCGUAUAUUAAAGUUGUUGCAGUUAAAAAGCUCGUAGUUGGAUUUGUGGCGUACGGUGUGUUCCGGGCACUUGUUGUCUGAGUAACCUGCUGUUGCCAUCCUUGGGUGGAACCUGUGUGGCAUUAGGUUGUCGUGCAGGGGAUGCCCAUCAUUUACUGUGAAAAAAUUAGAGUGUUCAAAGCAGGCUUAUGCCGUUGAAUAUAUUAGCAUGGAAUAAUGAGAUAGGACUUUUUUGCUAUUUUGUUGGUUUGCGCAAAGAGGUAAUGAUUAAUAGGGACAGUUGGGGGUAUUCGUAUUCCAUUGUCAGAGGUGAAAUUCUUGGAUUUUUGGAAGACGAACUACUGCGAAAGCAUUUACCAAGGAUGCUUUCAUUAA
rnacentral:rRNA from 1 species